GGUUACAAGUACCGUGAGGGAAAGUCGCAAAGCACUUGGAAGAGAGAGUUAAAGAGGACGUGAAACCGGUGAGGUGGAAAGGACAGAGCUGGCGUAUCUGGCCUGCAUUCAGCUUUGGGAUUUCUGUCGUUGUGGUGGUGCUCUCCAGAUUGGGACAUUGCUAUUUCUGAUGGAGGUUUCAUGGUGCAUUUGCAGGUGGAGUGCGCUGAGGCGCUUGAGGUAGCGGCAUGAGUUUGGCUCUGAGGCUAGCUUCGCAAGAGGUCUGGUACCCGUGCCGGAGGAGUGCUGUUUACCUUGAGUGUAUAACUGGGCAAUGGAAUCGGGCUCGAGUGGGUGCCGAGCUGGGGGUCGGUGGCGGUCGCGUGCGACACGUGCCAGCAGUCAGUUCGGUCCUGCUUGAGCUCUCAUCAGCCCGUCCUCGGUGUAAAAGCCGGUCAUCUGUCCGACCCGUCUUGAAACACGGACCAAGGAGUUUAGCGUGUGCGCGAGUCAUUGGGUGUUUAAAACUCAAAGGCGUAAUGAAAGUGAAGGUGUCCCUUGUGGAGCUGAUGUGUGAUCCUGGUCACUUCGGUGCAUCCGGGCGCAACAUAGUCCCGUCCUGAUCGCUUGCGGUGGGGCGGAGACAGAGCGUACGCGCUGAGACCCGAAAGAUGGUGAACUAUUCCUGAGCAGGAUGAAGCCAGAGAAAA
rnacentral:rRNA from 1 species